rnacentral:tRNA from 3 species
GCCUGCUUAGCUCAAUGGUAGAGCGCUUGCUCGACACGCAAGAUACGUGAGUUCGAUUCUCUCAGUGGGUAC